AACGCAUAUUGCGCUCUCUGGUAUUCCGGAGAGCAUGCUUGUUUGAGUAUCAGUAAACACCCCUCAGAACUUCUUGAUUUUCGAAUCUUGGAGCUCUGGAUUUGAGUGAUCCCAACGCGUUCUUUCGCAGAACAUGGCGGGCCACUUGAAAUGCAGGUGCAGCUGGACUUUCUUCUGAGCUAAAAGCAUAUUUAUUUAGUCCUGUCAACACUUGUGUUGCGGAUUAUUACUUCUGCUGCAGCUAACAUAAAGGUUGAUUGUUCAAAUGCUGACUGAUGCAGGAUUUAUCAGUAGCGUGAGCUACCUGUUACACUCGAUCUCAAAUCAAGUAAGACUACCCGCUGAACUUAA
rnacentral:misc_RNA from 1 species